rnacentral:rRNA from 1 species
UACGUAGGGUGCAAGCGUUGUCCGGAAUUAUUGGGCGUAAAGAGCUCGUAGGUGGUUUGUCGCGUCUGCUGUGAAAAUCCGAGGCUCAACCUCGGACUUGCAGUGGGUACGGGCAGACUAGAGUGUGGUAGGGGAGACUGGAAUUCCUGGUGUAGCGGUGGAAUGCGCAGAUAUCAGGAGGAACACCGGUGGCGAAGGCGGGUCUCUGG